rnacentral:lncRNA from 7 species
AUCGCUCGCUAAUCCUGGACCCGGACCUGACCGGUUGGUUGCUGGUUGGAAUAUCUGCCGGCCUUGAGAGCUGCCAAGUUGCGCGCGGCCGUUGUUUAAGCGUGCUCCCCAUUUGUCCAGAAAGCUUGCGACUGUGAUGUUUGUUUUUAACCCUUUUGCUUUUAGCGGACUGAGAGUGCUGUCGGUACUUUUGGUCAAUUAGAUAAACUAAUGCAGGUGGUGAAACUACCGCAGGUGGCGGCAGCCCUUGUCGCUGCCAGUGUGAUCCCUCAUGCCACUGUCAUCGACUCAUCGUACGCCAAUUUGAAGUGGGGGCAACCAGGUUCGUGCGCCUAAUUGUAUACGCUUCACCCGCAAAACUUGCCUUCGCCACGGCCCGUGGACAUCACCAUCCUGCAACAGUAGACAAAGCAGCUAUUCGUGAGUCGUGUGACUCGGCGUCUCUUGAGCACGCACGGGGCAGGGAACUCUACUGCUAGUGCAUGCUAGAGACAACGCUUGGAUGCUAGACGAAGACGCCAGCGCGCUAGGUCUAGGUGGCGAAUGAGUGUGGGUGAUGCGGUGCUCUGGUAGCCCGUGAAAGCAGAAAUUGUUUCACGCAAUGAUUUUAUU